CGGGGUGAGUAAUGUCUGGGAAACUGCCUGAUGGAGGGGGAUAACUACUGGAAACGGUAGCUAAUACCGCAUAACGUCUUCGGACCAAAGUGGGGGACCUUCGGGCCUCACGCCAUCGGAUGUGCCCAGAUGGGAUUAGCUAGUAGGUGGGGUAAUGGCUCACCUAGGCGGCGAUCCCUAGCUGGUCUGAGAGGAUGACCAGCCACACUGGAACUGAGACACGGUCCAG
rnacentral:rRNA from 1 species